rnacentral:rRNA from 1 species
AUUGAACGCUGGCGGAAUGCUUUACACAUGCAAGUCGAACGGCAGCACGGGGGCAGCCCUGGUGGCGAGUGGCGAACGGGUGAGUAAUACAUCGGAACGUACCCGGUCGUGGGGGAUAACGUAGCGAAAGUUACGCUAAUACCGCAUACGAUCUGAGGAUGAAAGCGGGGGACCUUCGGGCCUCGCGCGAUCGGAGCGGCCGAUGUCAGAUUAGGUAGUUGGUGGGGUAAAGGCCUACCAAGCCGACGAUCUGUAGCUGGUCUGAGAGGACGACCAGCCACACUGGGACUGAGACACGGCCCAGGCUCCUACGGGAGGCAGCAGUGGGGAAUUUUGGACAAUGGGCGCAAGCCUGAUCCAGCCAUUCCGCGUGCAGGACGAAGGCCUUCGGGUUGUAAACUGCUUUUGUACGGAACGAAAAGGCUCUGGCUAAUACCUGGGGCUCAUGACGGUACCGUAAGAAUAAGCACCGGCUAACUACGUG